rnacentral:rRNA from 1 species
UACGUAGGGUGCGAGCGUUGUCCGGAAUUACUGGGCGUAAAGAGCUCGUAGGCGGCUUGUCGCGUUGUUCGUGAAAAUUUACCGCUCAACGGUGAACUUGCGGGCGAUACGGGCAGGCUAGAGUACUGCAGGGGAGACUGGAAUUCCUGGUGUAGCGGUGAAAUGCGCAGAUAUCAGGAGGAACACCGGCGGCGAAGGCGGGUCUCUGGGCCGAUACUGACGCUGAGGAGCGAAAGCGUGGGGAGCGAACAGG